UCAUAUGCUGUCUAUUGAUAUUUAUUCAUCCUUUCCCAAAUUUUCUUUUUCCACGCCGCCGGACAAUAGCAGCCCACAAUUUAAGGCUCUUUUCCCAAAUUCAUGAGCUAUUCAUCUUCCUUCUCAACAUCCCAUUACUCUGGAAGGUUUCAGUUCAAAAAAAAAUUGCAUUCACGAUGCAAUUUCUUGGUUUUUCAAGGUUUGCAUCAUUAAUUUUAUUUUCUAUGGUUUUUUCUUUCGAACUAUUUGGAUUGACUGCUUAUUCUACAUGUAUAAAUACGACCUACCUCAUUUCCAGUUCUUCAUCCCCUUUGAACCGUUUUUCUUUUUUCUUACGAUUAUAAUUUUUCCUUUAUUUACGAUUUACAAUGGCAGCCGCAAGACGCGAUUUUGCCUUCGUUUACUUCAAGGACUUAAUCCAAUAUGUAUUUGAGCUUCAAGAUGGGCAUGGUGUAGUUAUUAGUGGUGCUAUGAUUGACAAUGAUGCAGGCACCAUUAAGGAUUAUUGGAAAUUCUUAUACUAACAUGGAACCACUUAAAAGUACUUUCUAUAAUUCCUAUACUAACAUGAGAACCUCUCUGAAGUGGCCUAAAAUUAUCUGUCUUUUUUCAGGUUUUUAAGGAAUCCAUAAACGAGGUCAAUACUCUUACAACUUUGCAACAUCCAAACCUUUGUAAAUUACUAGGUUUUUACGCGCGUGAGAGUUUAUAAUAUAGAAUGUUAGUUUAUGAAAGGCUAUACCAUGGAAGCUUGGACUGCCUACUGUAUGGUAGAUCUGAUAAACCAUCAAUUGAUUGGAAUACAAGAAUGAAAAUUGCAAUGUGUGUUGCACUAAGUCCUACUUUUUUACAUGAAGAAUGUCAUUUUCAGGUUUUGAAAAUGUUUAGAAAGUGGCAGACAUGCACCAGGAACCAAAUAAGAACAAGGUAAAGGAUCAAAGAAUCAAAACAGUACCCUUUUGCAAGGUUUUCUAUUUUGCAGACUCUUGGGAUUAUUUUCUUAUGAUUGUUGGAACUAUAAGUGCUGUUAGAAAUGGAGUCUUUAUGCCUUUAAUGACUAUAAUUAUUGGAGAUACUACUGUUGUUUUUGGAGGAAAUGUAAACACCAAACAAUUAGUUCAUCAAGUCUCCAAGGUCUCUCUCAACUUAUGUUGACAAUAAUAAUUAGGACGAGGACUAAUGUAGAGCCAAUGGUAGAUAGAGAUCGAAGCGGUUUCAUUGAUGAUAGAGGAUUGCAUUUGAAACUAUAUAAUUUGAUCGAUUGUGAUGCAACUGCUGCAAUUAAUAUGAUGAUGCUGCAAAGCUGUUAGACACUUUGCGACUGUUUGAUAGUCUGUUGUAUGGUGUAACCCAUGGACUAUUGCAGCAAGGAAAAUACUACAUGACUUGAGUAGAAACCUUGAUUUGGUGACUUUUACGAACUGUCUUAGUUUUGUAUUGUAGAUGUACUCUUUGAUAUUUUACUUAUGAUGAUAAUAUGGUAAUUGGUAGUUUGAUUAUUUAGGUUUGUUUAUUA